AUUGAACGCUGGCGGCAUGCCUUACACAUGCAAGUCGAACGGCAGCAUGAUCUAGCUUGCUAGAUUGAUGGCGAGUGGCGAACGGGUGAGUAAUACAUCGGAACGUGCCCUGUAGUGGGGGAUCACUAGUCGAAAGAUUAGCUAAUACCGCAUACGACCUGAGGGUGAAAGUGGGGGACCGCAAGGCCUCAUGCUAUAGGAGCGGCCGAUGUCUGAUUAGCAAGUUGGUGAGGUAAAGGCUCACCAAGGCGACGAUCAGUAGCCGGUCUGAGAGGACCAUCAGCCACACUGGGACUGAGACACGGCCCAGACUCCUACGGGGGGCAGCAGUGGGGAAUUUUGGACAAUGGGCGAAAGCCUGAUCCAGCAAUGCCGCGUGUGUGAAGAAGGCCUUCGGGUUGUAAAGCACUUUUGUCCGGAAAGAAAUGGCUCUGGUUAAUACCUGGGGUCGAUGACGGUACCGGAAGAAUAAGGACCGGCUAACUACGUG
rnacentral:rRNA from 1 species